rnacentral:rRNA from 1 species
UUUUAAAUCUUGUUAGUUUAUUAUUAUAUAUAAAAUUAUAUUUGAAAAAUAAUUUAUUAAAUUAAUUAAUAGUAAUUUUUAUUGAAAGUAGGUUUAUAACUAUAGUGUAAAGUACUGUGAAGGAAAGGUUUAAAUAAAUUAAAAAAAGUAAAAGUAAAAGUUUAAUUUUGUACCUUGGGUAUCAGGGAUAAUUAAUAUAUUAUUAAUUAUUUAUUAAAUGUCUCGAAAUAAAAAUAGUUAAUUUUAUAAUAUAGUUUUUGUAGUAAAAAAAUUUUAAAUAUAAAAUUAGAAGUGAAAUGUUAAUCGAGUUUUGUAAUAUCUAGUUCUUUAAAAAAUAAAUUUAAUUUAGGCUUUAUAAUUAUAUAGUAUAAAGACAAAAAAUAGGAGGGAAAGCUUUUUAUUUUAAAAAUAGUUGAAUAAAAAAUAAUAAAUUAUCUAAGCUUAAAAGUAGCUAUGUUUAUAAAGUGUUUUAACUAAAGGUUUAGUUAAUAUUAUUUUUAUAAAUCUUUAAAAUUAUAUUAGAGAUUUUUUUUAAAUUUUAUAUAAUAAAAUAUAAUGAUUUUAUUAGUAGAAAUUCUAUUAAAAUAAUAAUUUAAAUAAUAGAGAAAGUAUAAUUAAAAUUAAAAUAAUAUAGAGGAAUUCGGCAAAAUUUUUCUUUGCCUGUUUAUCAAAAACAUGUUUAUUUGAAGGUAUAAAUAAUUUGGCCUGCCCCCUGAUUAUAAAUUUAAGGGCCGCAGUAUUAUAACUGUGCAAAGGUAGCAUAAUCAUUAGGUUUUUAAUUAGAAUCUGGUAUGAAUGGUCGGACAAAAGAAUAACUCUCUUUAUAUUAAAUUUUGAAUUUAACUUUUAAGUGAAAAGGCUUAAAUGAACUAAAGGGACGAUAAGACCCUAUAAAACUUUACAUUGUAAUUAAAUUUUAUUAAGUUUAAUAAAUAAAGAUUUGAUUUAAUUAUUUGUUAGGCUGGGGAGGUACAGAUAAAUAUUAUAUUAACUGUUUGAUAAUUAUACAAUUAUUAGUGGGCAUGUAAUAUGAUCCUUUAUAAAGAUUAAUAAAUUAAGUUACUUUAGGGAUAACAGCGUAAUUUCUUUUGAGAGUUCUUAUCGAAAAGGAAGAUUGCGACCUCGAUGUUGAAUUAAAAAUUCUAUAUAAUGAAGAUGUUAUAUAAGAAGGUCUGUUCGACCUUUAAAAUUUUACAUGAUUUGAGUUCAAACCGGCGUGAGCCAGGUUGGUUUCUAUCUUUUAGUAGGAGUAUAAUUAUUUUAGUACGAAAGGAGUAAGUAAUUGGAAUAAUUUUAAUAUGUUA